AAAGUUAAUAUUAAAAAAUUAUUUUAAAUAAUUAAUUGGAAAUGAAACGUUAUUCGUUUUUAAAUAUAUCUAGUUUUUUUAGAAAGAAAUUUAAUUUUAAUUUUUUUUUGUUAAUAAAUUAAUUAAUUAAUUUAUUGUAAUUAAAAUAUUAGUAAUUUAAGGGAUAAGCUUUAAAUUAAAAUUUUAAAAUUAUUUUUAUAAAAAAAAAUUAAAAGUUUUAUAUUUUAUAUUGAUAAAAAAUUUUAAUUUUUUAUAAAUAAUUUUAUAUGAAAAAUAAAUUUAAAAUAAAAUAUAUUUAAAUUUAUAUAAAAAAAAAUUUUUUAAUUUAUUAAAAUUAAUUAUUAUGAUAAAAUUAGUAUAUAAUAAAAUUAAUAUGCAUAUAUAUAUAUAUAUAUAUUUAUUUAUUUAUUUAAAUAGUUAAAAUUUUUUAAAAAUUAAUUUAAAGGAAUUCGGCAAAAUUUUAUAUUCACUUGUUUAACAAAAACAUGUCUUUUUGAGUUUAAUUUAAAGUCUAAUCUGCCCACUGAUGAAUUAUUAAAGGGCUGCAGUAUUUUGACUGUACAAAGGUAGCAUAAUCAAUAGUCUCUUAAUUGGUGACUUGUAUGAAUGAUUGAAUGAAAUAUAAACUGUCUCUAGGUUAAUUUAUAGAAUUUAAUUUUUUAGUCAAAAAGCUAAAAUAUUUUAAAAAGACGAGAAGACCCUAUAGAGUUUUAUAAUUUUUAGUUUAUUUUAAUUUAUAUAAAUUUAAAAUUAAAUAGGUUUUUAAUUAUUUUAUUGGGGUGAUGGAAAAAUAUAGUAAACUUUUUUUAAUAAAAUUCAUAUGUAAGUGAUUAAUUGAUCCAUUAUUAGUGAUUAUAAGAAAAAAUUACCUUAGGGAUAACAGCGUAAUUUUUUUUUUUAGUUCAAAUAA
rnacentral:rRNA from 1 species